ACUGCAAAGGGGGUAAAUAAUCCAGUACCCCAGUACUUUGCAUGCUGCUUUAUGAAACCCAUGUAUAAGAGGCGCAAGAAGAACAAAAAAAGGCUAGCUCUGCAUACAGAUGUCGAAAUCGUCAAGGCAGUCGAAAAGCCCAACUGACCACUCCACAACCAUGGUUUGGCUUUGGAUUGGUCUUCCCAAGGACACAGUGUUCAAUUGGCAUGUUCUGCUUUGGAUCAAUCUUUCGGAAAUCCCAUGUUGAAUCAGCAUAUGUCAGCACUUUGGAGCUUCCAGCUUUGGUGGUAAUUUCCAUGCCGUAUCGUAUGUAUGAAAUCAGCCUGAUAGUAAAAUACUGAUGAUAAUCACCCAGGUGAUCUCGGUCUAAAAUGGGGGAACCAUGCCUGGUUAUUAGCUUGUAAAAGUGUCAGUCGUAACUUCUUCCUAUCCAAGCCUAUAGAUAGCUAAGUAAUUAACGAAUAUUCCAUGUUCUGCUUUGGAUCAAUCUUUCUGGAAAUCCCAUGCUCAAUCAGCAUAUGACAGCACUUUGGAGCUUCUAGCUUUGGUGGACUAGAGGGUACCACGAAGUCAAUGUACAAGGACUACACCAUGCAUGCAUGACAUAAACAACAUGGUACAUAUUCCGGUUUGAUUCUAACUUUUUGCCCUAUGGUUUAUAUCUUUCUUAGUACAAUGCUUCAUGCGGCUGAACUACCUCUUGUCCGAAUUUUUGCCAUCUCAAUUAUGAGCUUCUGUAUCUGUCCAAUCUUUCUUGAAAUAUCUUGCUUGUUGUGUAGCCAUUUGUUAUCACAUUUUUUCUUCAAUCAUCUUAAGCAUACAGGAUGCCCCAUCUUCAAGUAUUUAUUUCUCAUGCCAGUUUGGCAGUCAGUAUUGAGUCAAGAGAUUCGUAGUUUUACAACUUGAGCACUGCAUUUUAGUUCACAGGCCACUAAACUUCAGUACAAUCUACAACCAUAUAAUGCGUGUCAAGUAAGAAAACUGAACCAAAAUCACAAGGACAGAUAACAGGAGAUUUAACAACUUGAUUACCAAAUGGAGCAAGUCACUAGGCCUGCCUUUCCUCUUUCGAUGUUGUAGAACAUCAUGAAACGAAAAUUAACAGAGAACAGGACAGCUAACAUCAUUAUUUUAUUGACAUGUUCUAGAAGCACAUCCCUUGCUUCCCAGGUGCUUUCAUGCCUUGCACACACCCCACCAUCUUGUUGCUACCUUCCCAUCCUGCAAAUGUAAUGAUUUAGUAAUGAUUACUUUGUCUUUGUGAAACAUGAAUUUUCUUGACUACGCAUUCUCUCAGCAAGACGCGGUUACCUUUGGCCAUGUUGAAGCCACGGUUUUCCAGCUCCUUGUACUCUUGGCAUAGCGCACAACUCUCACAGAAGAAGUGGACGCAGCAAUCGAUGCAGGGCGAUGCUUUCAAGUUGUAUUGCGACCGCAUCGCCGAGCGUUUGGUACAAGAAUACAACCAGUUGCAGCCUACGCACGCCAGGCAAACAUACAGAGUCCCAUUCAUGCAGCAUGCUGAAAACAAGGAGACUCAGCCACAAAGAUGGAUGAUUUUUAUGCUUCAGCCCAAGCAUGAAUUCUAAGCGAAACACCUACAUGGGGAGCCUUUGUCCACAAUCCCAGCAAGACGACCAAAGGUAACACAGGGGCACCAGAAAGUCAAGCAACCUGCAAUGUUUGGAAAUGGAAUGGAACAUAGAUGAGUACUUUGCAAGUUUGCAUGCUGCCUAUGAAACCCAUGUACAAGGGAUGCAAGAAGAGCAGAAAAAAACUAGGUCUGCAUACAGGUGGCGGAAAUCUCCAAAGCAGUCGAAAAGCCCAACUGACCAAUCCGCAACCAUGGUGCUACUUAGUUUGGUAGAUUGUGAAUCUGUGAUCGUUGGAGUAUGGUAAUAGCAGUGGUGUGCAGCUGGUACCCUUGUGAGCAAUCUGUGAUGCUGCCGAUGUUUAUAUACUAGCAGUAACAGUGCAGUAUCAAGUAUGACAGAGUCAGUUGCUUCAGCAACCAAUUCCAGUGCAGCAUUUUUGUUUUUGUUUUAUGGGCUUUCUCUUGCAAUCUGCACCGAAUAUUGUACGCUAAUGCCAUGUUUACUGGUUCUGCUUUGAUUUGGUCUUCUCAAGGAAACGGUGUUCAAUUGGCAUGUUCUGCUUUGGACCAAUCUUUCUGGAAAUCCCAUGCCCAAUUAGCACAUGGCAGCAUUCUGGAGCUUCUAGUCUUGGUGGUAACUUUCAUGCCUUAUCGGCGUUUUCCUUAUGUAUGAAAUCCCAUGUAAGUCUCCAUUUAGAGUAGGGGAACCAUGCCUGGUGACAAACUUCGUAAAUGUGCCAGUUAUAAAUCCAAGCCUUUAACCA